rnacentral:snoRNA from 1 species
UUAUGAUGAGACCUUUUAGAUGACGAGUCAUAUUGGCGUUAGCCAUGACGAAAAAAACUUUUUAAUACCAUUCAUGCCUUCUGAUA